AUCUAGCUGACGAGUCCCGAAUUGGACGAAACGCGCGUCCUGGAU
rnacentral:hammerhead_ribozyme from 1 species